UGGGGAAUAUUGGACAAUGGGCGCAAGCCUGAUCCAGCCAUGCCGCGUGAGUGAUGAAGGCCCUAGGGUUGUAAAGCUCUUUCACCGGUGAAGAUAAUGACGGUAACCGGAGAAGAAGCCCCGGCUAACUUCGUGCCAGCAGCCGCGGUAAUACGAAGGGGGCUAGCGUUGUUCGGAUUUACUGGGCGUAAAGCGCACGUAGGCGUACUAUUAAGUCAGGGGUGAAAUCCCGGGGCUUAACCCCGGAACUGCCUUUGAUACUGGUAGUCUUGAGUUCGAGAGACGUGAGUGGAAUUCCGGGUGUAGAGGUGAAAUUCGUAGAUAUUCGGAGGAACACCAGUGGCGAAGGCGGCUCACUGGCUCGAUACUGACGCUGAGGUGCGAAAGCGUGGGGAGCAAACAGG
rnacentral:rRNA from 1 species